CCAAAUAAAUUAAAUCCUACGCCAAAUAAUUCCAAGAAAAAUAGAAGAUCUCAUUGCAGGUAUCUUCCCCUCUACCGUGAUUUUCCUCUUUAUUCGAUCAAUACUCAAUUAACCUCAAAUUAAUUGAGCAAAUCAAACACCAAAAUUACUCCUCUCCCACGUCUCACGCUCCCUCAUCUCGUCACCCCAAUCUGUAAGAGAAAUCCUUCCAAUUAUUUCCCCACAAUCAAUUGAAAUCAAUCACCCAAAAUAACUACUCAAUACAUUGCUAUAUCACCCCUCUACACUAAUCUCUCCGCCUCACACAAUUUGGCAGUCUCUCCUAAAUCACUUUUGAAUCACAAAAUUUCCUCAAGGCGGCAGAGAAGAGAGAGUUCAUCAUCCUCCCCCUCACAAUCCUAACCCCACCGAGAGAAAAGGCGGAGAGUUGGAUCGACCGCUUCCGAGCCACAACCUCUUUUGUUUACAGCAACUCGUCCCAAAUUAUUGCAGGUGGAAACGAGGCUGCUUCGGAUGAAGUCGAGACCGCUGGAGAGGCGACGCAGCGGCUGCUACGGCGCCGAGCGACGGCGGUGGGUGCGGGCGACGAAUCGGAGUCAGCAGUGGCGUCGACUCCGGUGCAGCGGUGAUUUGGAGAAAGCAACGGAGCUCUAACUUUUUUUCUGGUGUUUUGGUGUUGCGAUUCUGGGAGAGAGAGCCGACGGUAUCUUAUUUUGAAAAGGGAAUUUGAUUCUCAAUUGUUUAUGCUUUAAUUAUUUGGGGUGUAUGUUUUAAGGUGAAAAUGGAGUAUAAGUGUUUUACGAUGGAGUUGGAAUGGGAGUUUACAUUUCUCCUUUUCUUCUUUUCAAUUUUGAUCUUUUUUUUUUUUUUUUGGGAGCUGUCGUGUGUUUUGGAAAGCUAGUAAUAUUAUUUUGCAUCUUAUUUGAAUGAGUGUUUUCUUUUGUA